CCUGUGUGGAGGGCAGGGAAGACAUGUUGGCUCUUUCUGUCCAGGCUCACAGCUCCUCUGUCAUUUGAGGUGAAUGUCGGUGGAUAACACUUGAAGCCCGAGCGACACGUUCCGAGUUCUUUACGGAGUGGUCGGAACGGGAUCAAGGUCUACCGGUGCGCCUCCUCGUAAACCGACCAAGGAGGACCCACUCUGCAGGGCGCCUGGCGUCUUCAGCUGACCGUGUAAUGUGCUGGAGGUUCCAGGGGUCCCUCAGCCUGGAGGGUCGCCGUGCAAAGCCCCGACUGAACCAUUUCAGUUAUGCACAUGGUUUGAC